rnacentral:rRNA from 1 species
UGAAUGGCCGCGGUAUUCUGACCGUGCUAAGGUAGCGUAAUCAGUUGGCUUUUAAAUGGAGUCAGGUAUGAAUGGGAUAACCUGGUUUAGCUGUCUCCGAAAUAUUCUAUUGAAUUUACUGUUUAAGUGAAAAAGCUUAAAUAUAAUAAAGGGACGAGAAGACCCUUAGAAUUUUUUUUAAAAAGAUUAAACUUUGUGAUUUUGUUGGGGCGACAGAGAAAAAGUUAAAACUUUCCGUGGAGUACAAGCCGAAUUUUAAGUGAGAAUAAAUUACCUGAGGGAUAACAGCAUAAUUCUAUAAUUGAGUUUGUGACCUCGAUGUUGGACUAGGAAACUAGCAGAUUAGCCGUUUGUUUUGUUGGUUCUGUUCGAACUUUAAUUCCU